rfam:Dipodomys ordii contig_63104, whole genome shotgun sequence.
GGUGGCUCAGUGGUAGAGUGCUUGCCUUCCACGCAUGAGGCCCUGGGUUCGAUUCCUCAGCACCA